AGCGAACGCUGGCGGCAGGCUCAACACAUGCAAGUCGAACGCCCGUAGCAAUACGGGAGUGGCAGACGGGUGAGUAACGCGUGGGAACAUGCCCUUUGGGUCGGAAUAACUCAGGGAAACUUGAGCUAAUACCGGAUAAGCCCGAGAGGGGAAAGAUUAAUCGCCGAAGGAUUGGCCAGCGGCCGGUUAGCGAGUUGGUGAGGUAAUGGCUCACCAAGGCGACGAUCGGUAGCUGGUCUGAGAGGAUGAUCAGCCACACUGGGACUGAGACACGGCCCAGACUCCUACGGGAGGCAGCAGUGGGGAAUAUUGGACAAUGGGGGCAACCCUGAUCCAGCCAUGCCGCGUGAGUGAUGAAGGCCCUAGGGUUGUAAAGCUCUUUCGGCGGGGACGAUAAUGACGGUACCCGCAGAAGAAGCCCCGGCUAACUUCGUGCCAGCCGCCGCGGUAACAC
rnacentral:rRNA from 1 species